rnacentral:rRNA from 1 species
UACGUAGGGUGCAAGCGUUGUCCGGAAUUAUUGGGCGUAAAGAGCUCGUAGGCGGUCUGUCGCGUCGGCUGUGAAAAACCCGCAGCUCAACUGUGGGCUUGCAGCUGAUACGGGCGGGCUGGGAUUCGGUAGGGGAGACUGGAAUUCCUGGUGUAGCGGUGAAAUGCGCAGAUAUCAGGAGGAACACCAAUGGCGAAGGCAGAUCUCUGGGCCGUAACUGACGCUGAGGAGCGAAAGCAUGGGGGAGCGAACAGG